GACGAACCGUGCUAACGUUAUUCGGAAUCACUGGGCAUAAAAGGGCGCGUAGGCGGCUUUCUAAGUCAGGGGUGAAAUCCGGCAGCUCAACUGUCGCAGUGCCUUUGAUACUGGGAAGCUCGAGGGAGGUAGGGGUCUGUGGAACUUCCGGUGGAGCGGUGAAAUGCGUUGAUAUCGGAAGGAACGCCGGUGGCGAAAGCGACGGACUGGACCUUUUCUGACGCUGAGGCGCGAAAGCCAGGGGAGCAAACGGG
rnacentral:rRNA from 1 species